AACGAACGCUGGCGGCAUGCCUAACACAUGCAAGUCGAACGAGACCUUCGGGUUUAGUGGCGCACGGGUGCGUAACGCGUGGGAACCUGCCUUUAGGUUCGGAAUAACUCCCCGAAAGGGGUGCUAAUACCGGAUAUUGUCUUCGGACCAAAGAUUUAUCGCCUUUGGAUGGGCCCGCGUUGGAUUAGCUAGUUGGUAGGGUAAAAGCCUACCAAGGCGACGAUCCAUAGCUGGUCUGAGAGGAUGAUCAGCCACACUGGGACUGAGACACGGCCCAGACUCCUACGGGAGGCAGCAGUGGGGAAUAUUGGACAAUGGGCGAAAGCCUGAUCCAGCAAUGCCGCGUGAGUGAUGAAGGCCUUAGGGUUGUAAAACUCUUUUACCCGGGAUGAUAAUGACGGUACCGGGAGAAUAAGCUCCGGCUAACUCCGUG
rnacentral:rRNA from 1 species